GAGAGAGAGAGAGAGAUUAGGCAAAACUGUACAUGAACUUUAAUCUACAUGACUUAUGUGCAACAUGUUUCAACUUGGUUAAGCACCACUUCACUCUUUGUGAUAGGAAUACUUUGUACAGAGACAAAUAGUUUAGUUAUUUACUGUCAAACAACAUUAAGUUUUUUCAAUGGAAGAAGCAGUUAAAUCACAUGUUCUACUAAAUAUGCUCCUACAGGAAAAAUAAGAAUAAUUAUACAAAAUUACUUUUAUGAACUAUCUUGGAAAUAUCUUCCUUCAUACAACAUGACCUUUGUAAAUUUGUCCAUCACCAGGAUUGUAGUGCUUUAUGCCAAAGUUGCUGGAUUAGUAGUGUUUAAGUAAAAUAACUAUAAUACUGUACUCAUCUGGCAGCAGGCCCAGACCAUAUUCUAAGCUGCAGGUCUAGAAGGUAAACUGAGCUCCAAUAUAAUGUGAGCAAGUGUGACAAAGCGUUAGUCAUCCAUCAUAAGGUGGGAAAAAUCAAUAGGUCACGAUUGUUGGCCAAAUUAAACUCGGGCAUUGAAGGGAACAAAGUCAAGGCCAAAUUGCUUUUGUAUCACACAAAAUAUAGAUUUAAAUUUUGAAAUUGAGUGAAAAUUUUGUAUUUACUUGUGUAGUUUAAUGAUGAAUGAGGUAAAGCAUUUUUUUAUUAACAAAAAUUGUUACUACUGAAAACGGUUAACUUUCAAUAUACAUUACAGAAAGUCAUGUAGUUUAUUAUUUUUAUUUGUUUCAAACAUUUUUACAAAUUUUUGUUGUAUUGGAACAUACAAUUAUAGUGUUUUUCUUAAUAGUUUAUUUUACUGUUUUUUUUUCUUUCUAAUAAUUUGAUAUUUUUUAAUUAUUUGUGUCAAAAGACAUACCUAAAAUUUUCUGGUAACAUAAAUUUUUUAACACUUAAAAACAUUUUUGCUUAAAACAUGGAGUAUUUGUUAAAUUAUAUGAGUGAAUAUAAACUGCUUUCAGUGCUAAUACUAACAUUAUUUUGAAAACACAGGUUUCAGUUGCAUUUGUCAAUACAAAAUAGCCAUAGAUUUAUUGAUUAAGAUUUCAUAUUAACUUAUAGAUUUACCUGUUGCUAUAGUUACCAUAGUUGUUCUAAAUUAUUUUGUUGUUUUUAGAGUUUUUUUUUACAUUUUCAGAAUUGUAUUGUAUGCUGGCAAUUUCCUAAGUUAUCAAUAUAAUUUAAUAUAGCAAAUUUGAUUUUGUCUAUUGCUUGAAUGUAAAGUUUAAAUACAGUGAAAUUCUUAUUUAUUCAUAUAUAAAACAUUAUAUAAAGGUCAUUCUUAUUUACAUUG